UCGCGACUUUUACAGCUUAGAAAUCAUGUUGGAGGAAGACCCCAGGCAUGCAUUAUUUAUUUCGGUCAUGUGUGGUCGCCUUGGUAGAACAACCGACCUUCCGGAAGCCUGAUAGAUGGCUUCCUUACUUAAAAGAAUUAUGAAUUAUGCACCAAAAUGGUCUAAUCUAGGUUUCUAACCCGAAGCGUUUAGGGGUAAGUGAUUCCAAGUUGAAGACUCACCGCUCGGCCAUAUGGAAAAUGGAAGACAAGUGCCAUAACGGUGCAAGGUUUAUGUGUAUGUUUAUGCACUAUAAUUGCAAAUCAAUUUUCCAUGAGACCAAAAUAUUCUUUUAUUAUUUUAUUGCAAAAGUAAAAUAUUCAAAUUUACAACCACAUACGAAAUUCCUAUUUAUCCCUUUUAAAAUCUAUGUACAUAACCUACACUUUAUUUUCAUUUUCAACGACGUUUACUUAAAUAUUCUACUUACACCUACCUUAACCCAUAACCAGUCUAAUCUAAUCUUAACACCUUAAGUAUUCUAUUUUUGAAAUAUAAUUGUCCGGGAUAAAUAAAUACGACUUAUUUGUUGUCUUAUCUGCAAUUCUUUACUGAAGGACUUUUUUUUAAUUUUCCAGUUUCAUAAUAGUACGAAUAGACAAAAACACACCAUAUAAACAUUACAGGAUUCGUCUAAAUAUUUCAAAAAGUUUGAUGUUAUGAAACAUAUGCUGGUAUUGUCGGAAAUUCGAGAUUAAAUAAAGUUUUGUCAGUUCUUUGCCAUACAUGCUAGUUACUAUCUUCAGAAUGGAGACAGAAGUUUGAAAACUUUGACAGGAAUAAUGAUGGGGGUAUUUCUGCUGGAGAAUUAGAAAGAUUGUUGCAAUAUGUCGGAUUCAAUCCUACAGCAGACGAGCUAGUCGAAUACAUGAAACAGUUAGAUAAAAACAAUGAUGAAACAAUAACAUUUGAAGAAUUCUUUCCGUUUGUAAAGAGUCUUAAAGAUCCGAGUGGUGAACUUUUGGACGCAUUUAAGCUGCAUGAUAAAAAAUGGGGACGGCUAUAUCGACGAACAAGAAAUGAAAGCAAUGUUUACCAGUGGAAAUUUCAACCCAAAUGAAAUUGAUGACUUGUUCAAACUGGUUGAUGCAAACAGUGACGGAAAAAUUGAAUAUAAAGAAUUUGUGGAGCUCUUCACUGAAAUAUUUUGAAAGCAUUACGACAUGACAGACAGUUCUCAUACAUAGCUGAUCACUCUGUUGUACAUCAACUUUGUUUUCAGUUUCAAUAAUAUAUCCUUCAGGACACUUCCGGAACUUAUUUUCUGAGAUAACUUGUAUACAGGCUCACUUGUAGAGUGGAAUGUGCCGUUCAAAGACUAUAUCAAGGUGAACUGUGUAGGCUAAACUAAGCUUGUGUUACCUGAAAACGGGUAAUACAUCAGCUUCUUCAUUGUCAGAUUUAAUGUCUGAGUUGUACGCGGGGUCUAUCAUCUUCAUAUAUUGUUUCGCGAUUUUCACUGUUAUUUGGAAUUGUCUAUAAAGAAAACCCAUGUGACAGCUUUGUAUCGUACUGGCGUGUUUAACUGUGGCCGCCAGAAAUUUACCUAUCAUUAGAACACAAGAAUUGGACGUUGGAUCGGAAAACUAUGUAAAAAUGCGCCGUUAUUUCAAAAUUACUCUUAACAUGUUUUAUGUAAUUAUGGACAAACAUCGUUUUCAUUUUUCAGAGCCUUUCAUAAAUCUGACUCUUACUUGACUGUUUGUAUUCUAAAUAUAUUUACAUUGAACUCAAUGACUCGUCAAUAAUAUCAAUGUGAAAUAUAUGACAGGGAAAAUAUGUUCAAUAUUUUGGACAAAGUGUUACGCAACUGAAUUUAGCCUUUACAUUUCAUCUUCUCAACUAGUAAAGUACACAUAUGACAAUACUAAUAUUUUGACAUUGUUUCUUUUUUUUUAAUUGAAAGAUUCUUUUAAAAAGUUUGUAAGUACUUCCGUUGGUUGCAAGAGUUAGGCUCACUUAUCCAAUAAGUAUAUGAUUUACAAAUUCGUUCUUCAUUCACAUAAUGCUGUAUAUUGUGAAGGAGUCGUACUUUAUAAUUAGUUUUGCUUUUAAAUGUUUAAAAUAAACAUAUAUUCAAGAUUAUUUUUAGUUUUGUUUUCACACUAGCAUUAGCCUGUACAGUUCCUCUUUGGAAAAUUGAUACAAAACAAUUCACCAUGUUUCGAUCCCAAUAAACAAAUAAACAAAAUGCUGUGACACGUUUUUCAAAACUUAAUAGAAUAUAUGCUCUGGUUUCUCCAUAUUCAACCGCUGGACUAGAUGCAGAAAGAGAGUCGGCAAACUAAAAUUGUUUAACGUUAAAUUUUGAUGAAAUUGUAUUCUUAAGAAUAUUGCAUACUUCAACAUAUUUCAUGGGUGCAAAU